UACGAAGGGGGCGAGCGUUGUUCGGAAUUACUGGGCGUAAAGGGCUCGUAGGUGGCCAACUAAGUCAGACGUGAAAUCCCUCAGCUUAACUGGGGAACUGCGUCUGAUACUGGAUGGCUUGAGUUUGGGAGAGGGAUGCGGAAUUCCAGGUGUAGCGGUGAAAUGCGUAGAUAUCUGGAGGAACACCGGUGGCGAAGGCGGCAUCCUGGACCAACACUGACACUGAGGAGCGAAAGUCAGGGGAGCAAACGGG
rnacentral:rRNA from 1 species